rnacentral:lncRNA from 1 species
GUGGACAUCAACACAGAGGACCUGGAGGACGGGACGUGCAGGGUCACCUACUGCCCCACAGAGCCAGCCGGCAGCCCCCAAGCCUGCCCCGCUACCCAAGCAGCCCCGCCCUCUUCCCCUCAACCCCGGCCCAGGCCGCCCUGGCCGCCCGCCUGUCACUGCAGCCGCCCCUGCCCUGUGCCGUGCUGCGCUCACCUGCCUCCCCAGCCAGCCGCUGACCUCUCGGCUUUCACUUGGGCAGAGGGAGCCAUUUGGUGGCGCUGCUUGUCUUCUUUGGUUCUGGGAGGGGUGAGGGAUGGGGGUCCUGUACACAACCACCCACUAGUUCUCUUCUCCAGCCAAGAGGAAUAAAGUUUUGCUUCCAUUCU